GAUGAACGCUGGCGGCGUGCCUAACACAUGCAAGUCGAGCGAGAUGUAUAUGGACGAAACUUCGGUCUAGGAAAUAUAUUGACAGCGGCGGACGGGUGAGUAACGCGUAGGCAACCUGCCCUUAACACAGGGAUAGCCUCGGGAAACCGGGAUUAAAACCUGAUAAUGCCAAAUAGUCACAUGGCUGUUUGGCCAAAGAUUUAUCGGUUACGGAUGGGCCUGCGUCUGAUUAGUUUGUUGGUGGGGUAACGGCCUACUAAGACUACGAUCAGGGGCCGACCGGUGAGGGAGAUCGGCCUGAUUGGAACUGAGACACGGUCCAAAAUCCUCAGGGAGGCAGCAGGGGGGAAUAUUGCACAAUGGGCGUAAGCCUGAUGCAGCAACGCCGCGUGAGCGAUGAAGACCUUUGGGUCGUAAAGCGCUGUCCUUGGGGAAGAAAAAAAUGACGGGACCCAAGGAGGAAGCCCCGGCUAACUACGUGCCAGCCGCCGCCGUAA
rnacentral:rRNA from 1 species